GUCAUGGUGUCUGUUCACCGCAGUAAAACCCUAAGACAGUUGGAGACAGGAAAUAUACUCACAGAUGACCAAGGCCAUCUUCAGAUGCAUAACAAGUUCAAGGUCAGGCUAGGCUAGAUGAAACAUACUCAAAAAAAGUUAUUGAGAUUUGCAAGCAUGUGAAAUUUGUUUCACACACAAGUGGUGGAUCUGGGAAGCAAUGCUGGACUCCUGGUUCCAGUGGCCAUGCUCUUAGUCAUUGGACUCAUCAGGCCUCAAGCCUGGGGUGCACAUUAAAAGCACCUUUUACCCAUCCAUUUCACCCCCUACCAUGCAACAUGAGUCUAUGCUGUUCCAAAACCUUCAGGGGUUCCUGAAAGCAUCCCACACGCCAUGAGAGCCUGGCCCAUUUCUAACCUCUCCUUGCUGUGUCUUUUUGGAAUAUUGAUAUUUUUAUCUACUGCAUGAGAUUCAGCUUUACAGCUUUCUGUGGUCCAGCAUAUGACUUAGACAUAUAUAUUGUGAUUAAAUGAUACCAUGCUUGCUCAUUUACAUUCAUAAAGAGAUGAAUGUAUUUUUCCCCUCUGUUCAGUGGGAGGAAGGCAGUAGGGUCGCAGUAGAACUCUGAGAAUCCAUUAAUAAUUUCACCAAUCCACUGUUUUACAGUUUGCUGGUUGUCGUGUCGUCAUAGGAAACAAACAAGCCAGGCAGGGACCCUGCUUCCAUACUGGAGCCAACACACAGGUAAACAUGGCAACGAGAUGGGCUGAGGUUACGAGAACUGCUGAGGAGGAGCUACCCAGCGACAAUUCUCUGCCCAGAGUAUCUCCAGCUCUUCUUGGCGGACCAUCUCUUCAAGUCUGCUCAAGCCAUGGCCCCUCUGUGAAACAGCAUCUUCCUUCUGUUCAGGACCACCUUGCAUGUUGAGCCCUCCUGCUCAUGAGCCAGAAAGAUUCCUAUUUCCUACUGUUCUGUCCUUUCAGGCACUGCAGGGCUUGAGAAGUAUCUGUUGACUGUAUGUUCUACAAUCCAAACUCCCUCCAAGGAGGGCCACCUGAAUCAUCAAGAAACGCAUGCCAUUCUGUAGAAUCCACACAGGGAAAGCCAGUGUUAACUUAGUGAUUGGCAUCACCAAAAAAAAAAGAGAGAGAGAGAAAACUCACCUUUUGUGUGUGUGUGUGUGUGUGUGUGUGUGUGUGUGUGUGUGUGUGUGUGUGUGUGUGUGUCAAAGCCCAGAAAUCCCUCUGGCAGUCUCAGGAGAAAUGCCAUCUGUGAACUGAAGGGAGGAUAUGUAAAAGGUCAAAGUAGGCUAUGGUAAUAAGAAAUAUAAUUGCAUGCCAGUGUUCCUUUAAUUUGAGGACUGAAUGCAAAUGAAGCAGGCGUGCCCUUUCUUCCAGCCGUAUUUUAAUCAGUUCUGUUGCUCUUGUGGGAAGAGUUGAUGUUUAAAAGAAAAUGAUAAUAGCAUUCCUUUCCCUUGCCAUCCGGAAUGGGGGCAUGAUAGGAUAUGACAGCUUGAUUUAAAGACAUUGUUUAUCCAAUCGUCUGUUGGACAGGCAGCUUAUGUUACUGUGGUGGCUUUCAAGGAUCCGAGGGUCCCAGGUGACAACUCAAGUAGAAGAACUCUCAGGAAAAUUCUUUAGUGUCUGACAUACCAUAUCAGAGUAACAGGCAACGAGGCAAAGAGGAUGCUGAGACAGGGGAAUUUGCCCAUUCUGUCUUUAAUUCAGAACAUGGUCCUAUCAAGCUACUUUUACGUCUGAGUCUGCUGCUUUACCUAUAGAAGGAAGGAUUGGUGGAAGAGAGCAUCUGGGCUCUUGUUCCAUACCAAGAACUACAUUGUCACAAGAGGUUUGAAACUGGAGAAGGGUGCUGGGGUUUGAAAGGCUUAAGCAAAGUUGGGAGCCAGGGUUUGGGUAAGAUGAGGGGGAGGGGAAAAUGUAACCGAAACUAUGGAUAGAUGAAGGAGUCAUAUGGCUAAUUAAAAUAUCCACCGUUUUUAACAAGUGAAAUCUGGAUGGAGGUGCUCACCAUGGAUAGACAGUGCUUCCUCCAGAAGUCAUGGGUUAUCAAAUGAAGAUCUCAGUGCCAGCUGUGGGAUAUUGGUUAGGAAGGUCCCAGAGCAUUUCCCCGCCGGUACAAGUCAUCUCCAUGACUUUUGGUUGCCCACCAGAACUAGAUGGUAAGACUCAGUUGCUGAAGACACAACACACUCUGUUUGCAGCAUGUUGAGAAAUAAAGGAAUUGACCUAGAACAUUUCUUUCUGAUGGUUAGCUUUCAUAGUGCCAGAAGGUAUGUCAUGCAGGCUGCUGGUGGGAAAAAAUCAUCACUUGACUUACACAGUGAUGGACCCUGCAUGCUACCAUAUCAACCUGCCAGGCAAGGUGCACCUACUGAAGCAAUAGUGACAAGACUGUUUCAGAGGUAACCAACUGUUUUCUGAUUGUAUUUGAACCUGUUCCACAGGUCUCUUACUGUAAACCUGGUCCAAAGCCAUGAUACAGGGGGUCAUAGGCUCUGGGGAGGUGAACCUAUUGUCUUGCUAACCAGACAAGUUUGUCAAACUGCCUUUUUAUCCUGAAGUCUAUAGGUUAGUGUUGCUCUCAACACUGGGGAGAGACGCUUCUUUUUGUAGUGAGCAGCAGGCAAUGCAGAGAUUUGUAAAGGGUGAAAGUGCAGAAGAUCUGUGACUGUUGAGUGCUCAGCCCCACAUGAGACAUGUCUACCAACUUCUAAAAGGUUCCAGGAAUACUGUGGAAGAGGGGGAAAGCCAUGUAAGAGCUGGAGGACAGGGAGGGCACUGUGAAAUGCUGUCCUCAGGUUGUAACAGGGCCGGCCAUUGUACUCAUGGACCCACAGCAGCUACAGUUUUCUACACAAGAUCAAGCCAACGGUUUAACUGGGGGAGUGACGACAGGGACAUGAAGGUAGAGGAGCAGAUAUGUGUGGAAGUUUGCAAGUGUCCAAGAGGAGUGGAGGGGGAUAUCAUCACAAUGUGUUGUAUAUAAGUUAAAAUUGUCAAAGAGUAAGUAAAAAUAUUCUCAAAAGGAA